GGAUGAACGCUAGCGGGAGGCCUAACACAUGCAAGCCGGGCGGGAUCCCUUCGGGGUGAGAGCGGCGUACGGGUGAGGAGCACGUGUGCAACCUGCCCCUGUCUGGGGGAUAGCCCUCCGAAAGGAGGAUUAACACCCCAUAGGAUGAUCGCCGGCAUCGGCUGUCAUUGAAAGGUUACGGACGGGGAUGGGCACGCGCAGGAUUAGGUAGUUGGCAGGGUAACGGCCUACCAAGCCUUUGAUCCUUAGGGGGCCUGAGAGGGUGAUCCCCCACACUGGUACUGAGACACGGACCAGACUCCUACGGGAGGCAGCAGUGAGGAAUAUUGGACAAUGGGUGGAAGCCUGAUCCAGCCAUCCCGCGUGAAGGACUAAGGGCCUAUGGCCUGUAAACUUCUUUUGUACGGGGAUAAACCUAUCUACGCGUAGAUAGCUGAAGGUACCGUACGAAUAAGCACCGGCUAACUCCGU
rnacentral:rRNA from 1 species